rnacentral:rRNA from 1 species
CUCAGUUCGGAUCGGAGUCUGNAACCCGACUCCGUGAAGCUGGAUUCGCUAGUAAUCGCGCAUCAGCCAUGGCGCGGUGAAUACGUUCCCGGGCCUUGUACACACCGCCCGUCAAGCCAUGGAAGCCGGGGAUGCCUGAAGUGUGCAGCCGCAAGGAGCGCCCUAAGGUAAAACCGGUGACUGGGGCUAAGUCGUAACAAGGUAGC